CAUUCGCAAGUUUGAGGAAGACCUAGUGGCGAACGGGUGCGUAACACGUGAGGAACCUAUCCCAGUCUCUGGAAUAACAGGUGGAAACACCUGCUAAUACCGGAUGCCGUUGGACCAUCGCAUGGUGGACCAACGAAAGAUUUAUCGGAGUGGGAGGGCCUCGCGGCCUAUCAGCUUGUUGGUGAGGUAACGGCUCACCAAGGCGUCGACGGGUAGCUGGUCUGAGAGGAUGAUCAGCCACACUGGGACUGAGACACGGCCCAGACUCCUACGGGAGGCAGCAGUGGGGAAUCUUGCACAAUGGGCGAAAGCCUGAUGCAGCAACGCCGCGUGCGGGAAGAAGGCCCUAGGGUUGUAAACCGCUUUCAGCAGGGAAGAAAAUGACGGUACCUGUAGAAGAAGGUGCGGCCAACUACGUGCCAGCAGCCGCGGUGACACGUAGGCACCAAGCGUUGUCCGGAUUUAUUGGGCGUAAAGAGCUCGUAGGCGGUUCGGUAAGUCGGGUGUGAAAACUCUGGGCUCAACCCAGAGACGCCACCCGAUACUGCUGUGACUAGAGUGCGGUAGGGGAGCGGGGAAUUCCUGGUGUAGCGGUGAAAUGCGCAGAUAUCAGGAGGAACACCAGUGGCGAAGGCGCCGCUCUGGGCCGUGACUGACGCUGAGGAGCGAAAGCGUGGGUAGCAAACAGGAUUAGA
rnacentral:rRNA from 1 species